ensembl:lncRNA
CGUGACCAAACCACGCCUCGGCACAGUGGCUCGAUACGUUUGCUUCAUGAACUCAGAGGACCAUCACUAGCAGCAGAGACUCUGCUCUCCUCGUUUGGAUUGAUUCUGAUAUAAUAACUGUUGGUUUAUUUAUCGGUGCAGCAGCAGAACAUUUUCCACAGACAGUUUUCCUGCCUGUUGGCUUGUUUUAACCAGUUUUCUGCCUUCGGCUGAUUUUACCAGCAGACACUGAAAGGACUCUGAUACUUCGAGUGAAAGUAGCAGUUCCUCCUGAAGGUCAGAGAUUGCAGCAUCUGAGGGCCUCUUCAAAAGAAGACGUAGUUGAUGAAGGCGUUCUGGAGCAGGACCAGAAAGACCACGACCAAGCAGCCUUGAGAUCUGAGGCAGCGUCUCCCUCAGGUCCCUCUCUAUCUCCCUACACAUCCACCAACCACUGGAACACAUCUCCAAAGUUCUGCUGGACCAGCUCAGCUUCCCCUCAGAAGAAGUGGUGCCACCUGCCAGAUGAAGGAGCCUUUUGAGAGGCAGCUGGCAUCAUGAUUGGACUGUACUUUGGUCUGUUCCAAUCCAGCUUCAGCUCCAGAGACGGCAGGCGGGACGAGUCAACGGAGGCCGGAUGGACGAAGGCAUGAAGCUGAGUACAAUCCAGAAAACAACAGAGGAGGAGUGCAGCAGCCCAGAGCCAGAACAACCAGAGUAGCAUCACUAAAGAACUACAGACUCUUCACAACCUGCUCAAAUUCUUGGUACAGGACCUCACCACACGGGUCAAGAAGGUUUCCUUCUCAUUUCUACUCUGAAGCUCACCUUCUCCUGCUCAAACUGCUGACAAAUGUUUCUGCUGCUCUAAAGUCUGGUCUCCAGAACUUCCUAAAAACUCUCAAAGUCUCUUCUGCUGCAGGUUGCUUUGUAGAACUGUUCCAGAAAACCUCACUAAACCACAUGGAGGGGCCUCAAGAUAGUCGUCCAAAUGAAACCGUACAAAAACCAAACUAACACAAUCCAAACGCUAAAGUCUCCUGCAGCCUACCAGAGAACCUCUGAGAACAGAGAAUCAGGACAGGAACUCUUACCUUCUGGACAACCAACGUUGGUUCUCAAACAAGAAUACAUAAUGUGUCUGACCAAAAACCUCUAAAGACUCACUACAGCCAAGAUAAAGACACAACUCAGCUGCAGCAAAUCCACUAAUCACUGCACACAUUAGCACCAUGUGCUAACUGUGGCUAAAGAACCACAUUUACCAAGACAACUAUCCAGUACAAAGCCCUAAAACACACCAAGAAACACAUUAAAGACGAUUUUACUGCUGGAAGCUGCAAGCCAACGCCUAAAGAACAAACUGAAGCAAUGGAGCCAAACCCGGUUCACUGGUGAACAGAAGCAGAGGAAAUGUUUGUCUGCAGCUAAAUAAAGCAGGAAGACACUGAGCUGCUCAGGUGUUCCUGAAAACACCAAGCAGCUACCUGGACAGCCAAUAGGAACACAGCUUCCUGGACAGCCAAUAGGAACACAGCCACCUGGACAGCCAAUAGGAACACAGCUUACUGGAAGUCCAGAGGACUGGGUUAGUCAAGGAAAUUUAGUUCAAAGUUGAAGCAGAAAGUUAACAAAGAAAGUUGAAAACCACCUUCUGAUACCUGAAAUCUCUGAGUUUUCAAACAAAGAACACCUGAACAUGUCAAACUGGUUCCAUAGUAGAACCAUCAUUGUAAAAACAUCAUAGUAUGGUGUGUUGCUCCAAAAACAUUAGGACCCGGCUGUCUAGGGUCGCAGAGGAGCAACACAAAAACAGGACAAACGCUGGUUUCCAUGGGGUUAGGAGGCUAUUUAUUUGAAAGAGGAAGUUUACAACAACACAACAUGUGAGCAGAAAAAUCACAAAGUCUGUCUUUAGUUCAGCUGAAAAUAUUAGUUUUUGUCUUUUUUAUAGACCAAACUUUUCAGGAAGUAGAUGAAGAAUAAUUAAAGCUCUCAUGUAGAAGUAAACUUAUUUUGGAUCCUUGUGGAGAGUUUAAUCUUAGAGUUUGUAAAGCUGUUGAGUUUUUAGAGUCACAUGGAUUGUUUUGACAUUUAAUAACGGAGUCCUGAAAUAAAAUUACAGUUGUGGAUUUCUGUCAUUUAGUCUGGACUAAACAAGUAACAGCAGCAUAAAUCUCAAAUGUCAUUAUGAGGAGUCUGGAUUGAGGUUUCUCACUUGAUAAUGAUCAAAACAUGAAAUAUAGGUUGGUUUAAACCACGUUAAAUCUUUGAAUGUUGACCUAAAAGGUUGGUUUCAGGAAGUAUUCCACCUACAAGGUCCUCAAACAUCCACCUUAAAGGAACAUUCCACCAAAAAUCCUUGGACAUUCACCUAAAAUGUUGGUUUAACCGAGUAUUCCAUCCAAAAUCCUCAAAGAGACCUGAGGGGCUGGUUAAAAGGAACAUUCCACAUAAAACCUCAAAUAUAGACCCCAAAGGGUGGUUUAGAAAAAAUCCUUCAAUGUAGACCAAAAAAGUUAGUAUGGAGGAAUAUUCCACCUGAAAUGUCGACCUGAGAAGUUGGUUUGGAAGAAUAUACCAUCCUAAACAUCCUUAAAUGUAGACUAAAAGACGUUUGGAAGAAAAUUCCACCUAAAAUCCUCCAAUGUAGUCCUAAAAGGUGACUUUAAUGGUAUAUUCCACCUAAAAUUCACUACUGUAGACCUUGGAGGUUGGUCUGAUGGUAUAUUCCACCCAACAUCCUUGAACAUAAACUUAAAAAGUUCAUUCAAAGGAAUAUUCCACUUAAAAUCCUUCAAUGUAGACCAAAAAGUCUUGGUGUAAAGGAGUAUUCCACCUUAAAUGUAGACCUAAAGGAUGGUUUGGAGUAAUAUUCUACUCUAAAAUCUUCCAAUGUAGACCUAAAAGGUUGAUCUGAUGGUAUAUUCUACCCAACAUCCUGGAACAUUUAUCUAAAAGGUUGGUUUAAUGGUAUAUUCCCAGAAGAACCCUUGAACAUUGGGCUUAAUGGUAUAUUCCACCCAAAAUACUUGUACAUAUACUAAGAAGUCAAAAAAAAUGUGAUUUUUCAACAUGUUGUAAAAACGUGCCAUAUGAUGAAAUAAUGUAAAGGAGGCUGUGAAAAACACUCCAGAAAGGUUUUCUUUGAAAAAAAAAAUCAUCAUGAAUUUUGGCACAAAAAAAAAACGCCUUACUAUACUAUGUCGAAAAAAAAUGCGAUUUUUCAAACAUGUUGUAAAAAUGUGCUAUAUGAUGAAAUAAUGUAAAGGAGGCCGUGAAAAACACUCCAGAAAGGUUUUCUGUGAAAAAAAAAUCAUCAUGAAUUUUGGCGCCAAAAAAAAACGCCUUACUAUACUAUGUCAAAAAAAAGGCGAUUUUUCAAACAUGUAAAAACGUGCCAUAUGAUGAAAUAAUGUAAAGGAGGCCGUGAAAAACACUCCAGAAAGGUUUUUGAAAAAAAAAUCAUCAUGAAUUUUGGCGCCAAAAAACGCCUUACUAUACUAUGUCGAAAAAAAAGGUGAUUUUUCAAACAUGUUGUAAAAACGUGC